AACAUCCAUUGGAAGUAUGCUGGCCUCCAUUAUGUCUAUCACUUUGUCCAAAUUUUACAUACCACCGCUGCCUUAAAUCCAUACCAUAGAUGAAGCAGCCAGAAAAAAGUUCCCACCAUGUUUGGCGGUGGUGUACCUGCCCUGUCGAGCAAUGCUUCAUGAAAAGCCCUAGAAAAUUGAUGGAGACGAAGAAGGCUAUGUUAAAAUCGAGGUUUGAGAUUAAUGGCGAAGGAUUUGAAGCAUCGUUGUCUUCAUUAAAGCAUCACAUUUACUAAAGUAUUUAAGAAGAUCACUGGUAUACUUUUUGGCCCAUGGAGUCUGGAUUAUGUUUUUUCUCACUCUCACCGUUGAAGAUGAACUAUUGUUUUUGUCUGUUGAUCAUUUCCAUAUGGAAAGGCAAAGCACCUUUAGAGAAAGAUACGGGGGUAAUCACAAGUAAUGGAAAAGAAUGGGGAUAAAGAAAUUGCCACUCCCAAGGUAUCAGGGCUAGCUUGACAAUGCAGGUAUAUCCCUAAUUAAUAUUGUUUCUAAUCCAGGGUUAAUAAUUUAAUAUGAUAUUUCCUAGAUCUUUCUCACUCUAGAAACUGUAGAAUGAUAACAUUUUGUAAUGUUUAUAUACAAUAAUGCUGUUAUAUAUUCAAAUUUUAACAUAAACGUAGUUCCAAACUCCUUUAGAGACACCGGAAAGACCCAUGGUACAGAUAUCAACAUAUUCAGAACCAGAAGGAACAUUUUGAAAGAUGCUUGUUACUGGAAGGAUAAUUUGCAACUAUGAUGUAAAAUUGUAACUUGAAUUGUUUAUUGGCAAGCUUUAAUUUUUUUUUCCCAUGCUAGCAAUGUAGUUACAUCCAUUUAGUUUCA